rnacentral:rRNA from 1 species
UACAGGGGGGGCAAGCGUUGUUCGGAAUUACUGGGCGUAAAGGGCGCGUAGGCGGCCGCCUAAGUCAGACGUGAAAUCCCUCGGCUCAACCGGGGAACUGCGUCUGAUACUGGGUGGCUUGAAUCCGGGAGAGGGAUGCGGAAUUCCAGGUGUAGCGGUGAAAUGCGUAGAUAUCUGGAGGAACACCGGUGGCGAAGGCGGCAUCCUGGACCGGCAUUGACGCUGAGGCGCGAAAGCAUGGGGAGCGAACAGG